rnacentral:lncRNA from 1 species
GCAGUAGCUCUAGCCCUAAGACAGACACAUGUGCAGGACACAGCCACGGUAAAGGCUGCAGCCACUGGCCACAAGAGUAGGCCUCUACCUGCCAUCAUGUUUGUGGACUGAUACCACUUUCACCCCGUGAUUGACACCUCCAUCCCAUCAUUGAUACCUCCACCCCAUGAUUGACACCUCCAUCCUGUGAUUGAAACCUCCAUCCCAUGAUUGAUACAUCCAUCCAUUGAUUGACACCUCCAUCCUGUGAUUGACACCCCCAUCUCGUGACUGAGUAAAAUAGUGUCAUCUGGAUUAAAUGUCCACCAUCAGGACUAUUUGCUUUCAAGUCUAUAAUAAGAAAAUAGGUCUACAUGGUGGUGGUGCACGCCUUCAAUCUCAGCACUCAGGAGCAGAGGCAGGUGAAUCUCUGAGUUCGAAGCUAGAGCAAGUUCCAGGACAGCCAGAGCUGCACAGAGAAACACUGUCUUGGGGAGAAAAAAAAAAGGAUCUAGCAACGUUGUUUUUUGGCUAGAGUCUUGAACAAAGGAAGGUCUGAAUGAGGAGAGUUUAGUCUACUGUGUGCACCGAGUCAUCAGGGAGACAAAAAUAAAUCCACUGGAGAGGAAGAAAAGCAAUUAAAACAGUCCUUCUCAACAAAGAAGAGGAAAGUAUGUAUUUACUAUGAAACUUUGGGGUUACAAGAUGGCUCGGCAGGUAAAACUGCUUGCUUCCCACGCUUGGUAUGAAUCAAGUCCCUAAAACCAUAGUGGGAGCUGACUCCAUUUAUGCUCUGAAGACUAGGCUGGCCUUGAACUCAGAGAUCUGCCUGCCUCUGUCUCCUGUGCUAGACUAAAGGCAUGUGCCACCACCGCCUGGCCCAUUGCACAGUGCUUAAGGACAUGCUCCAAGGGGUCCUCCUGAAGGACAGACUUUCUUCAAUAACGUCCACACCUUAAUGUCUGUAUCACUUUUCAGGAAUGCCAUCAAAAUUUGAAGGCACCAAUGGGUUGCUUCCACUGCUAGCUACACUGAGGAUCAAGCUUUCAGUGCAGGAGCCUUUGGGGGACACUCACAUCUACCCAAAACAUAAGAGCGGGUAAGAAGAUUGGGCUCAAUAUGUGUCACAGUGGCCCAGUCUUGGCACCCAAUCUCACAAGACUAUUUCCUCAUCUGUAAAAUCAGAUUGGAAACAGCAACUAUUUCUCACAGUUUUCCAAAAAGCUAGAGCCAGUAGUAUGUGUGCAGAGUAGACCAGGAGGCAGAAGACUCAGAAAACAGUUCUGUCUGGUCUAAAAACAGGCUGCUUGCUGAGUUCCUUGCUCUUGGGGGAUGAGUCUUUGCUCUUAUUCGGCCCUCAGCUGAUUAGACAAGGCUACCCCCAGUCCUGGGUUGUAUACUUCUUUACUCUGUCUAGAGGUAUACAUUUUAAUGUCAUCUGACAUCCUGAAUGUUAGACCAAAUAUCUAAGCAUUCUACUCAGCCAAGUUGACAUAUAAAAUUAAUCAUCACAGCUGGUCCCAGGGACAGGCUUGGAGAUCUAACUAGUCAGGAAAUAAUAGAAGUCCUCUACGUUCUGAAAGCUUCUCUCCCACAAUGAGGGACUCUGUGGGCUGUGUUUGUACCCCACGGCAAGAGUACUGGUACACUGGGAGCUCAGCAGCCCCUGGAUGGAUCCUUGUUCUUUCUUCUGUCUGUCUAAGCUGACACUCUCCCUCCUAGUCACCCCCAGGUGCACCCCAGCCAGUCCUCAGGUGAGGGGGUCGGGAGAGGCCCUGGAGUUGCCUGAUACUAGAUACUUCCUUCCUGCCGGAUUAAGGAAGUAUUGUCAGCAUCGAGUCUGUGUUUACCAAAUUAACAAAUGGACUUCAAGUCAAACACUAGGCGAUUUGUGAGAUGGAUUUCUCAACAACGUGCCAACUGAGGGGGUCGCUCCCAGGUGCCGGGCUGUUUGCCGCUUCUUGGACUACUGGACUUUGACAUCAUGUCACUUUAAGGUGCUCUUCGUGGAAAGCUGUGACCCUGCCAUUCCUUAGGCAGGGCGGAGAGCCUCCACGCAGGUGUUCCGAGGUCAGCUGGAGUCCGGCUUUGCUUUGGGGCCAGCUGCUUUCUUCUGGUCCCAACAGACACAAAGAUUCUUGGUCAGUGGCUCCAGAAUGGAAAAUAAAGUGUGUUGAAACACUUGCUCCCCACUAGGCAUCUCCAUCAUGGGUAGAGCAGGGCCUCCAGCCAGACACUGGCUCUCUGCUAACUGUGGCAAAGACAGCAGAGACAGCAGGGCCCCAGCGCCUGGACCUGCUGUCCGUAGAUGCGUGUUUGCAUCCUGUCCAUGCCUGGGAAGCCACUGCUUCUUUGCCUUGGUACUUAGAGCGUGUCUCAGGAUCUGUGGCUGCUCCACUACAGGGGCACAUGGUCUUCAUACCUCUCAUGGGAGAGACCCCCAGGGAACACAACGCUUAGCAUGCGUACCUUUAUGCAGUCGAGGGAUGACUGUCUCUUGUAGACCUGUCUUCUGGCCUGCAUUUUGUGGCCCACUGUUUGUUAAAUGCUAUUUACUUUGGAAAGGCAUUAAGAGGAAAGAAAACAGUGCCCCAGCACCUUCCCCUGAGCCCCUCUGCAGUAAUCGUCUGAAAUGUAAAAACUUCACUCGAACCUUUUCCUUUCCUUGGCUCGCUGGACAGCAAAAGAGCUGGUUUAACUGAAUUGCCCAGUUGUUUGAUGACUCAAUCAGUCAGCAAAUAUUUGUUUUGUGAAGCCUCUGAGUAAAGCGCUCAGUGUUUGAUUAAAUUGUUUGAUGAAACAGAA